UAGUCUAUAUCUCAACGGUAGAGAGAUCGAUUGAUAAUCCGAUAGAUGUAAGGUUCGAUUCUUACUAGACUAA
rnacentral:tRNA from 1 species